rnacentral:rRNA from 1 species
GACGGAGGCCUCGAGCGUUAGGCGGAAUCACUGGGCUUAAAGCGUGUGUAGGCGGGCCCGUAAGUGUCUUGUGAAAUCCCCCGGCUCAACCGGGGAACGGCUGGGCAUACUGCGGGUCUUGGGCCGACUAGGGGCAGCCGGAACAAGCGGUGGAGCGGUGAAAUGCGUUGAGAUCGGAAGGAACGCCCGUGGCGAAAGCGGGCUCCUGGACCACAACUGACGCUGAGGCGCGAAAGCCAGGGGAGCGAACGGG